UUAACUUAUUUUAUAGUACUCAGACGACACUAAACACAAGAGUUGGGGUCCUCUGGCAGGCACUCCCCAGCCGAAGCCGGGAGCCCGAAGGCGGCCUGCCAAAGCAACAAGAGUAAAUUAUACAGGGUGGGAGGUCUACCCGUGAGGGCAUAUCUCUGUAAUGAUCCUUCCGCUGGUUCACCAACGGAAA
rnacentral:misc_RNA from 1 species